AUACGGAGGGUGCAAGCGUUACUCGGAAUCACUGGGCGUAAAGCGCGCGCAGGCGGUCUUUUAAGUUGGAUGUGAAAGCCUACGGCUCAACCGUAGAACUGCAUCCAAAACUAUUAGACUAGAGUGUGGGAGAGGAAGAUGGAAUUAGUUGUAUAGGGGUAAAAUCCGUAGAGAUAACUAGGAAUACCAAAAGCGAAGGCAAUCUUCUGGAACACUACUGACGCUGAGGCGCGAAAGCGUGGGGAGCAAACAGGAUUAGAAACCCUAGUAGUCCC
rnacentral:rRNA from 1 species